GCCGCCCCCGCCCCCUGGCCGGGGACGCGGGGGGCUCGGGCAGGUCACGCGACCCGCUGCUUCCUCUGCGUCCGUUCCCGGCGGCGGCAGCGAGAGCAAGGACGUGCGAAACUGCACCCAAGUCCCUCCUUCCUGUGCUGGAAUCUGGACUGCCCUCUGCUGAUGCCGCAGCUGCCCCAGUCACCACUGCCUGGAGUCUACGCCCAGUGCCGUAGACUUGGUUCCAAAGGGCUUUCGAGAAGCUCACAAAAAACUGCUCCCUGAAUCCUUGAGGAUCUAAAGCGGCCGUAGGCACCUAACGCAGCAAGGAGCUUUAUAAUGAAUGGACCAGGCUGAAAUUACCAGAACUUCCUGAUCAACCACGGCAUCGACAACCAGACACCGCGUGCCUCCUGAUGGGAUACACGGUACUACUUCUGAAAUAUUCCUGGGAAAAA